UACGGGGGGAGCAAGCGUUGUUCGGAUUUACUGGGCGUAAAGAGCGUGUAGGCGGUCCGGUAAGUCAGCUGUGAAAGUCAAGGGCUCAACCCUUGAAAGCCGGUUGAUACUGUCGGGCUAGAGGACGGUAGAGGCGAGUGGAAUUCCCGGUGUAGCGGUGAAAUGCGCAGAUAUCGGGAGGAACACCAGUAGCGAAGGCGGCUCGCUGGGCCGUUCCUGACGCUGAGACGCGAAAGCUAGGGGAGCGAACAGG
rnacentral:rRNA from 1 species